rnacentral:tmRNA from 1 species
GGGGCUGAUUCUGGAUUCGACGGGAUUUGCGAAACUCAAGGUGCAUGCCGAGGGGCGGUUGGCCUCGUAAAAAGCCGCAAAAAAUAGUCGCAAACGACGAAAACUACGCUUUAGCAGCUUAAUAACCUGCUUAGAGCCCUCUCUCCCUAGCCUCCGCUCUUAGGACGGGGAUCAAGAGAGGUCAAACCCAAAAGAGAUCGCGUGGAAGCCCUGCCUGGGGUUGAAGCGUUAAAACUUAAUCAGGCUAGUUUGUUAGUGGCGUGUCCGUCCGCAGCUGGCAAGCGAAUGUAAAGACUGACUAAGCAUGUAGUACCGAGGAUGUAGGAAUUUCGGACGCGGGUUCAACUCCCGCCAGCUCCACCA